rnacentral:rRNA from 1 species
UACGUAGGGGGCAAGCGUUGUCCGGAUUUAUUGGGCGUAAAGAGCGUGUAGGCGGUCAGGUAGGUCUGCUGUGAAAACUCGAGGCUCAACCUCGAGACGUCGGCGGAAACCAUCUGGCUAGAGUCCGGAAGAGGAGAGUGGAAUUCCUGGUGUAGCGGUGAAAUGCGCAGAUAUCAGGAAGAACACCCGUGGCGAAGGCGGCUCUCUGGGACGGUACUGACGCUGAGACGCGAAAGCGUGGGGAGCGAACAGG